rnacentral:rRNA from 1 species
CCUACGGGCGGCUGCAGUGAGGAAUAUUGGUCAAUGGUCGGGAGACUGAACCAGCCAAGCCGCGUGAGGGAGGAAGUUACAGAGUAUCGUAAACCUCUUUUGUCAGGGAACAAAGACUGGGACGCGUCCCCGGAUGAGUGUACCUGAAGAAAAAGCAUCGGCUAACUCCGUGCCAGCAGCCGCGGUAAUACGAGGAAUGCGAGCGUUAUCCGGAUUUAUUGGGUUUAAGGGGUGCUCAGGGGGUCUGUUAAGUCAGCGGUCAAAGCCCGGGGCUCAACCCCGGCCCGCCGUUGAAACUGGCAGUCUCGAGUUGGAGAGAAGUAUGCGGAAUGCGCGGUGUAGCGGUGAAAUGCAUAGAUAUCGCGCAGAACUCCGAUUGCGAAGGCAGCAUGCCGGCUCCACACUGACGCUGAGGCACGAAAGCGUGGGUAUCGAACAGGAUUAGAUACCCUAGUAGUC